UACAGAGGGUGCAAGCGUUAAUCGGAAUUACUGGGCGUAAAGCGUGCGUAGACGGUUGCGUAAGUCAGAUGUGAAAGCCCCGGGCUCAACCUGGGAAUUGCAUUUGAGACUGCGUAGCUAGGGUGCGGAAGAGGGAAGCGGAAUUUCCGGUGUAGCGGUGAAAUGCGUAGAGAUGUGGAGGAACACCGAUGGCGAAGGCAGCCCCCUGGGCUAACACUGACGCUCAUGCACGAAAGCGUGGGGAGCAAACAGG
rnacentral:rRNA from 1 species